rnacentral:lncRNA from 1 species
UUAGAGCAUGCUCAAGAACAUCCUGAGCUUCGUUCCCUUUCUCCAUAAGAUCAUCUAAGAAAUUGUUGUUCAUUUCUAACUGGAUGUUAUUGACCACAAGAAGGACUUCAUCCACUCUACUGCAAAACCGAUAAUGUUUGACAAUUGCUGCAAAACAAAGGGAGCUUUUCAUGUUCAAUAGAAAUGGAAAAAGCAAAAUUGUCCCUUUCAACAAGUCUAGUUAAAGGUUCAAAACCCUUCUUUCCAAACACUUCACGUAUCUUCAACAGAUGCAAAAUUGAUUUCGAAAAAGUCUUGCCCUAAAGAAGUGACUUUCCAUGGUCUGAUUGGUUUCCAUAGCUUAGAGAGCUUGUCUCUGAUUUUGGUUACCUCGAGAGGAGAGGUCCCUUUCGACAAGAUUAGCCUAUUGUGGAGGUUGUUCUUGUUGUCAAGGAGGCUUGCUUUGUAUUAUGAUUCUGAGAUUUUGAUGGAGAUAGAAUCCCUUUUGUGGCAGGGCUUUGCGAGUUGGCUUACAAGGAAAUUGUAGGAACUUGAGAGAACUUUUGCAAAGGAUCGAUCGUUCAAGGAUGCCGCCUCGUUUGGUUUUGGAUUUGACGGGAAAGCGAACGAAGAUGGAAGGCCAAGGAAUGCCUAGGGGCAAACGAUAGCAAGGGGUCCAUCAUGGGGCAAAGGAGUCCUAGGGGAGGGAACCUUAGCGGAGCUCAUUUUCUCAAAAU